AUCGAUACCUUGGUGCCUUGGAUGUGCGAGACGAUCGAGCUAAAAAAAGUACGGGACCAUCGAUAACUUGGCGCCAAAAAAAUUUCCCUAUUUCAAACAUAAUAAUGUCUUCUGGUAGCAUAUCGAUAAAGUGUUUUUAGCUCUUUAGAGGCAAGUGAUCGCGAGGGACCAGAGCAAAGGGAUGUCAAGGGCACUUUCCACGCCCAUCCCAUGCCUUAAUGUCGAAGUCCCCUCACUAUCGGUUAGGUUCCUGAAGGUGCUUCAGCGAUCUAUCCUGGUAAACAUCUGGCGAACAUUUCGGUGAGACUUUUAGAAUAUAAAAAAUGGUGCGGUAGCAUCGGUGCUAAAAAAAUGUCUCUGUUUCAGACAUGUACUAGAGCAUUGGACACCAUUGGCAACUUAGGUCGAUGGUGGUGUGGGACCAUCGAGAAUCAUCGGCAUGUUUUUACCUUGGAUGUGCGGGACCAUCAGGAAGCAUCGGUACCUUAGCGCCUUAGAGGUACGGGAGCCUCCUACACCAUCGAGAGCUUAGGCCAUUGGUUGUGCGGGUGCAUCGAACACCUUCGAAAACAUAGGCCACUAUUGGUGUGGUAGCAUCGAGCUUAAAAAAAGUGUCCUUGUUUCAGACAUGUUGAUAUUUUUACGGAAGCAUCGGCACCUUGGUGCCUUGGAUGAGCGGGAGCCUCAAACACCAUCGACAUCUUGGUACCUUGGAUGUGCGGGAGCAAUACACACCAUCGGUACCUUGGUGCCUUGGAUGUGCUGGUACAUCGGCACCUUGGUGCCUUCAUUAUGUAGGAGCAUCGAGAUGAACCAGAAAUCGAGUUAUGGUGCCUAACUGUAUACUAACCUAGAACCCACAAAGGGUGUUGGUCGAUUAAGACAGCAGGACGGUGGUCAUGAAAGUCGAAAUUCGCUUAGUAGUGUGUAACAACUCACCUGUCGAAUCAACUAGCCCCGAAAAUGGAUGGCGUUUAAGCCCGCGACCUAUACCUAACCGUCAAGGCAAGGGCCAGGCCACGAUGAGUAGGAAGGCGCGGCGAUCACCGUAAAACCCAAGGCGUGAGCCCGAGCGGAGCCACCGUCGGUGCAGAUCUUAGUGGUAGUAGUUAAUAUUCAAAUGACAACUUUAAAGGUCGAAGAGGGGAAAGGUUCCUUGUGAACGGCACUUGGACAUGGGUCAAUCGAUGCUAAGAGAUAUGGGAAGCUCGUCUUAUAGCACGUUCAGCACGAGCUCUGAAAGGGAAUCGGGUUAAAAUUCUUAAACCAAGAUGCGACGGUUGACAGCAAUGUUAGGGAGUUCGAAGACGUCGAUAGGGGCCUCGGGAAGAGUUAUCUUUUCUGUUUAACGCCCUGCCCACCCUGGAAACGGCUCAGUCGGAGGUAGGGUCCAACGGUCGGAAGAGCACCGCAUGUCGCGUGGUGUCUGAUACGUCCUCUAUGGCCCUUAAAAAUCUGGAGGACCGAGUGCCGUCCGUGCCCGAUUGUACUCAUAACCGCAUCAGGUCUCCAAGGUGAACAACCUAUGGUUAAUGGAACAAUGUAGGUAAGGUAAGUCGAAAAAAUGGAUCCGUAACCUCGGGAAAAGUAUUGGCUCCAAGGGCUGGGCAUAGGGGUCCCAGUCUCGAACUUGUCGGCUAUCGGUGUACUACUCGAGCUGCUCUAACGACGAGAGUGAGUCAUCGCAUGCUGGUCGGGGGACGGACUGGGAACGGCUCCUUAAGAGGCUUUCCCCGAGCGACGAACAGUCGACUCAGAACUGGUACGGACAAGGGGAAUCCGACUGGUUAAUUAAAACAAAGCAUUGCGAUGGUCCUUGCAGAUGCUCACGUAAUGUGAUUUCUGCCCAGUGCUCUGAAUGUCAAAGUGAAGAAAUUCAACCAAGCGCGGGUAAACGCUAGGAGUUACUAUGACUCUCUUAAGGUAGCAAAAUGCCUCAUCAUCUAAUUAGUGACAUGCAUGAAUGGAUUAAGGAGAUUCCCAUUGUCCCUGUCCAUUAUCUGGCAAAAACCACAGCCAAGGGAACGGGCUUGGCAGAAUCAGCGGGGAAAGAAGACCCUGUUGAGCUUGACUCUAGUCUGACUUUGUGA
rnacentral:rRNA from 1 species